GUCGCAUCUCCUCUAGCCGACCUUGCUUCCCCGAUCCGACGCUACUGGAUCGAUCCAGAUCCACCCGAUCGUCAGCGUGGAAGGAACAUUAGGGUCUUGAGGAUCUUGGAUCCAAUCUUCGUUCUUGUUAAUUUGGGGACAGAAGAAUUCCUGGUACGUUGCUUCACGGAUCGGAUGGGGCGACGUUUUCUGGAGACGAUCGAUUGAGGUUUCGGUUGAUGAUGAUGGGAUCAAUUGAGUUGUUGGGCAGAGGAUUGAAGGGUUGAUUGAUGUCUUGGAUUGCUUGAUUUGAGAUCAGUGAUCUGCUUGUUGACCUCUUCUCUUGAUCCGAUCAGUGAGGUGAGUUCUGUUGCUGUGAGGCUGGGAUUGUGAUCUUUGAGGUGUAUCCAGCAGCUUUCCCUAACCGGCAGCAACCCCUUUGGUUGUGAUCUAUUGGUGAUCACCUUGGAUUCGAGGAGUCUGAUUUGAGACAGGCGUCUCGACGUUGAAUUCGGAUUUGGAUUGUACCUUC